rnacentral:rRNA from 1 species
GGAAUUGUUCGCAAUGGGCGCAAGCCUGACGACGCAACGCCGCGUGGAGGAUGAAGAUCUUCGGGUCGUAAACUCCUUUCGAUCGGGACGAAUGGCCGGUGACCUAAUACGUCCCUUGAUUGACGGUACCGAGAGAAAGAGCCCCGGCCAACCCCGUGCCAGCAGCCGCGGUAAUACGGGGGGGGCAAGCGUUGUUCGGAAUUACUGGGCGUAAAGGGCGCGUAGGCGGCCUGCUAAGUCGGACGUGAAAUCCCUCGGCUCAACCGGGGAACUGCGUCCGAUACUGACAGGCUCGAAUCCGGGAGAGGGAUGUGGAAUUCCAGGUGUAGCGGUGAAAUGCGUAGAUAUCUGGAGGAACACCGGUGGCGAAGGCGGCAUCCUGGACCGGCAUUGACGCUGAGGCGCGAAAGCCAGGGGAGC